CAUUUAAACUUUCGAAACUUUUAUCGAUGUUUAAAUGAAGAAUCUACAAGAAGAUAUAUACAUGUGGGUUUACAUUUAUCUUUAUCUUUUACGGAAUUCAAUAUAUCAUCAGCAAACAGAUAAGCUGUAAUAUUUCAACAUAUCAAUGGCGCAAGUGAUAUCAUGUGUAUCAGCCAUGUUGAAGAAUAGCUAUUAAUGCGCGCGUCAAUUUGAAACGCGGUUACAUCGGUUUCGUCGUCCCUUCGCGUGUUUGCUUUUUGCAUCGUAAAUCUCUUCUGUGAUUUAUCCACUUCAUCUCCUUUCCGCUGUUUUUGCGAUACUUCGGUUUCCAGGACAAUCGGAUCUUUGUGUAACGCUUUGCCUAGAUUUAUAGUAUACGAAAGCAGACAUGUUUCUAAAGCAUAUGAAUCGUGUGUUAUAAGUAAAAUGACAAGAGAGUUGCUUGCAUUUUGUCUUUGGUCAGUUAUUCUGGUUUUUGAAGAAUCUGAAAAUUAAAUGAUUUUUCAAAAAUGUGUAAUUAUCGUGUAAAUUAAAUUUAAUGUAUUUAAUAGAGAAGAAGUAAUGAUUUCUUGUAAAAUGAUCAUAAGUUGAUCAUAAAAACUGUUCUUAAAGUUCUUUAUUAAAAAAUUCUAAGA